UACGAAGGGUGCAAGCGUUACUCGGAAUUACUGGGCGUAAAGCGUGCGCAGGCGGUCUGUUAAGACCGAUGUGAAAUCCCCGGGCUUAACCUGGGAACUGCAUUGGUGACUGGCAGGCUUUGAGUGUGGCAGAGGGAGGUAGAAUUCCACGUGUAGCAGUGAAAUGCGUAGAUAUGUGGAGGAAUACCGAUGGCGAAGGCAGCCCCCUGGGAUAACACUGACGCUCAUGGCACGAAAAGCGUGGGGAGCAAACAGG
rnacentral:rRNA from 1 species